rnacentral:sRNA from 1 species
GGCUUUUAGGAUACCCAACAGCAUCUAGCACAAUCUGGCUUAAUAAAUGUUUGGUGUUGGUACUAGUCAAGAUGUUAGACUCCUCCCGCCACCACCGCAACCAAAUGUCCUUGAACCUUCCUAUCUCUAUCUCAGUAGCUAAAAGCAAAACCCUGAUUCUGUCUUUGAACAAAAUAAGCUGUGCAUUGACUCUUUUAUUUCCUCUCCUCCUAGAUUUUGAAGAAGUCCUGCAUCGAAAUUCUAGCAGCUGAACCAUCCACCAUAUGUGCAGGAGAGUCAUUUCAAGUUGUCGUGAGAGGAAACGGCUUCCGACAUGCCCGCAACGUGGACAGGGUCCUCUGCAGCUUCAAGAUCAAUGACUCGGUCACACUCAGUAAGUCCUUGCAGAGUCCAUGGGUUUCUUCGACAACUGACUUCAGGGAAGGGAAUUCCCACCCUUGUCUUCCAGCAAGGCCACACACAUGAAACCAGCAGAAAAGA